rnacentral:rRNA from 1 species
UUAAGCGACUAAGCGUACACGGUGGAUGCCCUGGCAGUCAGAGGCGAUGAAGGACGUGCUAAUCUGCGAUAAGCGUCGGUGAGGUGAUAUGAACCGUUAUAACCGGCGAUUUCCGAAUGGGGAAACCCAGUGUGAUUCGUCACACUAUCAUUAACUGAAUCCAUAGGUUAAUGAGGCGAACCGGGGGAACUGAAACAUCUAAGUACCCCGAGGAAAAGAAAUCAACCGAGAUUCCCCCAGUAGCGGCGAGCGAACGGGGAGGAGCCCAGAGCCUGAAUCAGUGUGUGUGUUAGUGGAAGCGUCUGGAAAGGCGUGCGAUACAGGGUGACAGCCCCGUACACAAAAAUGCACAUAUUGUGAGCUCGAUGAGUAGGGCGGGACACGUGGUAUCCUGUCUGAAUAUGGGGGGACCAUCCUCCAAGGCUAAAUACUCCUGACUGACCGAUAGUGAACCAGUACCGUGAGGGAAAGGCGAAAAGAACCCCGGCGAGGGGAGUGAAAAAGAACCUGAAACCGUGUACGUACAAGCAGUGGGAGCCUCUUAAUGGGGUGACUGCGUACCUUUUGUAUAAUGGGUCAGCGACUUAUAUUCUGUAGCAAGGUUAACCGAAUAGGGGAGCCGAAGGGAAACCGAGUCUUAACUGGGCGUUAAGUUGCAGGGUAUAGACCCGAAACCCGGUGAUCUAGCCAUGGGCAGGUUGAAGGUUGGGUAACACUAACUGGAGGACCGAACCGACUAAUGUUGAAAAAUUAGCGGAUGACUUGUGGCUGGGGGUGAAAGGCCAAUCAAACCGGGAGAUAGCUGGUUCUCCCCGAAAGCUAUUUAGGUAGCGCCUCGUGAAUUCAUCUCCGGGGGUAGAGCACUGUUUCGGCAAGGGGGUCAUCCCGACUUACCAACCCGAUGCAAACUGCGAAUACCGGAGAAUGUUAUCACGGGAGACACACGGCGGGUGCUAACGUCCGUCGUGAAGAGGGAAACAACCCAGACCGCCAGCUAAGGUCCCAAAGUCAUGGUUAAGUGGGAAACGAUGUGGGAAGGCCCAGACAGCCAGGAUGUUGGCUUAGAAGCAGCCAUCAUUUAAAGAAAGCGUAAUAGCUCACUGGUCGAGUCGGCCUGCGCGGAAGAUGUAACGGGGCUAAACCAUGCACCGAAGCUGCGGCAGCGACACUAUGUGUUGUUGGGUAGGGGAGCGUUCUGUAAGCCUGUGAAGGUGGCCUGUGAGGGUUGCUGGAGGUAUCAGAAGUGCGAAUGCUGACAUAAGUAACGAUAAAGCGGGUGAAAAGCCCGCUCGCCGGAAGACCAAGGGUUCCUGUCCAACGUUAAUCGGGGCAGGGUAAGUCGACCCCUAAGGCGAGGCCGAAAGGCGUAGUCGAUGGGAAACAGGUUAAUAUUCCUGUACUUGGUGUUACUGCGAAGGGGGGACGGAGAAGGCUAUGUUGGCCGGGCGACGGUUGUCCCGGUUUAAGCGUGUAGGCUGGUUUUCCAGGCAAAUCCGGAAAACCAAGGCUGAGGCGUGAUGACGAGGCACUACGGUGCUGAAGUGACAAAUGCCCUGCUUCCAGGAAAAGCCUCUAAGCAUCAGGUAACAUCAAAUCGUACCCCAAACCGACACAGGUGGUCAGGUAGAGAAUACCAAGGCGCUUGAGAGAACUCGGGUGAAGGAACUAGGCAAAAUGGUGCCGUAACUUCGGGAGAAGGCACGCUGAUAUGUAGGUGAAGCGACUUGCUCGUGGAGCUGAAAUCAGUCGAAGAUACCAGCUGGCUGCAACUGUUUAUUAAAAACACAGCACUGUGCAAACACGAAAGUGGACGUAUACGGUGUGACGCCUGCCCGGUGCCGGAAGGUUAAUUGAUGGGGUUAGCGGCAACGCGAAGCUCUUGAUCGAAGCCCCGGUAAACGGCGGCCGUAACUAUAACGGUCCUAAGGUAGCGAAAUUCCUUGUCGGGUAAGUUCCGACCUGCACGAAUGGCGUAAUGAUGGCCAGGCUGUCUCCACCCGAGACUCAGUGAAAUUGAACUCGCUGUGAAGAUGCAGUGUACCCGCGGCAAGACGGAAAGACCCCGUGAACCUUUACUAUAGCUUGAUACUGAACAUUGAGCCUUGAUGUGUAGGAUAGGUGGGAGGCUUUGAAGUGUGGACGCCAGUCUGCAUGGAGCCGGCCUUGAAAUACCACCCUUUAAUGUUUGAUGUUCUAACGUGGGCCCCUUACCGGGGUUGCGGACAGUGUCUGGUGGGUAGUUUGACUGGGGCGGUCUCCUCCUAAAGAGUAACGGAGGAGCACGAAGGUUGGCUAAUCCUGGUCGGACAUCAGGAGGUUAGUGCAAUGGCAUAAGCCAGCUUGACUGCGAGCGUGACGGCGCGAGCAGGUGCGAAAGCAGGUCAUAGUGAUCCGGUGGUUCUGAAUGGAAGGGCCAUCGCUCAACGGAUAAAAGGUACUCCGGGGAUAACAGGCUGAUACCGCCCAAGAGUUCAUAUCGACGGCGGUGUUUGGCACCUCGAUGUCGGCUCAUCACAUCCUGGGGCUGAAGUAGGUCCCAAGGGUAUGGCUGUUCGCCAUUUAAAGUGGUACGCGAGCUGGGUUUAGAACGUCGUGAGACAGUUCGGUCCCUAUCUGCCGUGGGCGCUGGAGAACUGAGGGGGGCUGCUCCUAGUACGAGAGGACCGGAGUGGACGCAUCACUGGUGUUCGGGUUGUCAUGCCAAUGGCACUGCCCGGUAGCUAAAUGCGGAAGAGAUAAGUGCUGAAAGCAUCUAAGCACGAAACUUGCCCCGAGAUGAGUUCUCCCUGACCCUUUAAGGGUCCUGAAGGAACGUUGAAGACGACGACGUUGAUAGGCCGGGUGUGUAAGCGCAGCGAUGCGUUGAGCUAACCGGUACUAAUGAACCGUGAGGCUUAACCUU